GGGGCGCAACGCCCUCGACC
rnacentral:snRNA from 1 species